rnacentral:rRNA from 1 species
CCUACGGGCGGCAGCAGUGGGGGAUAUUGGGCAAUGGACGCAAGUCUGACCCAGUAACGCCGCGUGAAGGAAGAAGGCUUUCGGGUUGUAAACUUCUUUUAAGGGGGACGAGCAGAUGACGGUACCUCUUGAAUAAGCCACGGCUAACUACGUGCCAGCAGCCGCGGGAAUACGUAGGUGGCAAGCGUUGUCCGGAUUUACUGGGUGUAAAGGGCGUGUAGCCGGGAAGGCAAGUCAGAUGUGAAAUCCCGCGGCGCAACCGCCGAACUGAAUUUGAAACUGUUUUUCUUGAGUAUCGGAGAGGUGAUCGGAAUUCCUAGUGUAGCGGUGAAAUGCGUAGAUAUUAGGAGGAACACCAGUGGCGAAGGCGGAUUACUGGACGACAACUGACGGUGAGGCGCGAAAGCGUGGGGAGCAAACAGGAUUAGAUACCCUUGUAGUC